GCGCGCGCGCGCGGGGCUCGGCGGCGGCGCCGCUGGUGGGGGGAGGGGAAGGGGCGCCCGGUCCUGCCCUGCCCGGAGGCCGCCGGGCUCGCCCUGCCCUGCCCUGCCCGGCGCUACCGGCCGCCUUUUGUGCGUCCCACCCCCCUUCCCGCACGCUCCCGCGCAGGGCGGCGGGAAAGCGCGAGCGCGGCCGCGCGGCUCCCGAGAAACCGGCGGCCUCGGCUUCCCCCGGUCGCGGGCGUCGGCCGCCCCUGCCCCGCCUCCCCUGGGGCUGCGCGCGGCUGCUCGCCCGGCCGCUUCCCUCAGCCGCCGCUCCCGGCGCGGAGCCCCGGCUCCACCCCGGCGCGGCCGCGGGGGCUCCCGGCAGCCGAACUCGCGGCCUCCCCGCCGGGAGCCCCGGCGCCGGGCGGGCACUGACGCGCCUGAUUUAAACGCCUCGUAGAGCGACUGGAGCGGAGCUGAGGGAAGCGGCUCUUCGGGAAGAACCCGAAAGAUGUCCCGGGACGGCGAGGAGGGUUGUUUAGCGGCCUAGACCUGCGGGAGGAGCCGCCGCCUCCGCUUCGGCAGCGCUUCGGCUUUGGGGUACGGCCUCUGCUGCGUGGCGCGGUCGCUGGCAGGUUUUGUGGGGGCUGUCCGGCGCGGGAGCCUCCGAGAAGAAUCAGAAUGACUAAAAAAAGGAAACAUCAAGAAGAUUUCCAGAAAGUGAAAUUAAAAGUUGGGAAAAAAAAGCCUAAACUAGAGAAUGCAACUGAUACUACCUUCAAAACAAAGGCCAUACAAAUUCCUGAGCAGCUUAAAGAAGAUGGAGUGCUUCCUACGCAAAAUAGAAAACUUAACAUAAAGGAUCUGCUUUCACAGAUGCAUCACUAUAGUCCUGGGGUUAAGCAUAAUGCACUUCUUGGGCUCAGAGAACUCCUGUCUCAGUAUCCAUUUAUAAUUGAUGCACACCUUUCAAAUCUAAUAAGUGAGGUGGCAGCUGUGUUUACAGACAAAGAUUCUGGUGUUAGAGGGGCAGCUGUUCACCUGCUGCAAUUCUUGGCUUCAAAAAUAAGAGCGGAACAGAUAGCUCCAUUUUUUCCUUUGGUAAGUGCCCAUCUCUCCAGUGCCAUGACUCAUAUCAGUGAGGGAAUUCAGGAAGAUUCAAUGAAAGUCUUGGACGUUUUGUUGGAAGCAUACCCAGCUCUUCUCACAGACCGCAGCAGUAUAUUGUUGAAGAAUUUUGUAGAGCUUAUUUCUCACCAGCAACUGUCAAAAAGACUGAAAAGCAGAGAGAAACUUUCCUGGAUGCUCUCUGUUAACCCAAAUCGCAGAGUAACUUCUCAGCAGUGGAGGUUGAAUGUACUUACCAGGCUCAAGAAGUUUCUCCAAGCUGUGGUAGAUGGAUCCAGUGAAAUAGAGGAUGAAGGGCUUCAAGAACAAAAGGACAGCCCACAUUCUGUGAGGAACCCAAUAUAUAUAAGUUGGAAGGUCCAUGCAAAUAAUCAGCAACAUAUACAGCUGUUUGAAAAUGGUGGCUUACGACCAAAGAUCAACUCAUCAUUUAGACUGAGGUCUCUGGCAGGUGUAAUGGACAGUGCAGAAAAAGGCCUGUCCUCGGCUGAAAACUUAAAAGGUUUUAUUGAGAUAAUAAUUCCAUUACUGAUUGAGUGCUGGAUUGAAGCAUCUCCUGCACAAUCAGCUCCCAUUCUUGGAAACCUUUUGGAAUCAGAAUCUCAGCAGCUUAUGCAGCAAGUGCUUAGUAUAAUACAUUUAUUGUGGAAACUCACAAAGCGACAUGAUGAAACAUACAAAAUGGAACUAUGGCUUCGAAUGAAUUACCUUGUUGAUUUCAAGCACCACUUCAUGCGUCAUUUUCCUUAUUCUUUACAAGAAACAGUAAAGCACAAAAAGAAAGAUUCGUGCAAAGGCAACAAGUAUUGUAUGACAUCAUCAAACAGCGUAGACCAUCUUUUACUGAACUUAACUUUGUGUGACAUAAUGGUUUCACUCGCAAGCACUUCAACACUUCAGAUGGAUUCUGGUUGGCUGGACAUGAUAAGGAAGUUUGUGACAGAUACUCUUCAGGAUGGCAGCAAGCUGAAUAGCAAGCAGGUGAACAGACUGCUUGGUGUAACUUGGAGACUAAUGCAAAUACAGCAAAACAAAGUGGCAACAGAACCCUUGAUAAAAGCAGUAUAUACACUAUACCAGCAAAGGAAUCUACUCUUUCCAGUUCGUACACUGCUUUUGAAAUUUUUCAGCAGAGUUUACCAAAAAGAAGAUUUGAGGACUCAAAGAAUAAGAAGUCGAAGUAAAGUCUUAUCUCGUUGGUUGGCUGGCUUGCCUCAGCAACUUGCUCUGCUUGGCCUGAGAAACCCUGAGCUUUCAAAUCAGCUGAUUGAUAUCAUUCAUUCUGCUGCUUCUCGUUCGAACAAGGAAUUACUACAAAGUUUACAAGCCACUGCUGCUCGGAUAUAUGACCCGCUAGAUGGCACCCUGGUGCUGCUGCCGGCCGAGGCGCAGCGGCGGCUCGUGCAGCUGGUGUACUUCCUGCCCCGCCUGCCCGCGCCCCUGCUCGCCGCCCUCAGCCGCUGCUGCAUCAUGGGCAGGGUGUCCGCCGAGCUGGCCGCCACGCUCAUCGGGAUACUGCACAUGAGAUCAUCCUUUGCAGGCUGGAAGUGCCAAGUGCAGGAUAAUUCAGUGAAUGAUGUGGACUAUUUCAGCUUCUUGUUUUCAACCCUUAUAGGGUUUUCAAGAGAGGAGUUGACUAGUCUCCAGGGCAUUAGAGGAAAACCACACAUUAGCCAGACACAGCUUUCACCUGUCCGUCUUUACCUAACUGAUCUGGACCAGUUUUUACACCACUGGGCUGUGACAGAGAUGAUCUGUCACAGCUUGUCCACUAUACCUUCACAAAGUCAGUGUUUCGACAUUCUCCAGACCGGCAUUUGUAAAUACCUGGUUGGAUUGGUUGUAAUACCCGACAGCACAGCUGGAUCUGUUCUAUGUGCCAUAAAUAAGCUCUUGGAUCAAGCCUGCAUCCUAAGUGAAAACCUGCACAAGUUCUUAGCCUCUUGUUGUUACAGUCUUCUGUACUUUCUGCUAACUUUAGACAAAGAGGAUGCAGAACAUGUACAGAAAAGGGAUAUGCUGUGGGGAUCAUGUAUUUCUGCACUGGCACUCCUGCCGCGAUUACUGAGACUGAUGCUGCAAAGCCUGCAAGUGAGCAGGAUCUGUCGGGAAGAACUGCCUGUUGUUGCUCAGUUGCUUCGCCUCCUAAUGCAACACGGCCAGCUCAGGAGCCAUAUGAUCACAAACGAAUUUCUGGUGCAACAGAUUAUCAAGGACAUCAUGACACUGAAGAGCGGUGAAGUUCAAGAGCAGUGGCUAACAGACCUCCAUUACUGCUUCAACAUCUACCUUGCCUCUCACCCCCCGGGACCCGGCCCCGUAAACGCGGUGUAUUGAAGAGGGCGAACGGCGUCUGUUGUAAAGCAUUUACUUCUAUUUAGUUUUGAAUGGAAGAUGUUGGAACAAAGCUUGUCAAUUUUUUUAUCCCACAAACAAGGAACUGCCCAGGGAAGGAGC